UACGGGGGGGGCAAGCGUUGUUCGGAAUUACUGGGCGUAAAGGGCUCGUAGGUGGCCAACUAAGUCAGACGUGAAAUCCUUCGGCUUAACCGGGGAACUGCGUCUGAUACUGGAUGGCUUGAGUUUGGGAGAGGGACGCGGAAUUCCAGGUGUAGCGGUGAAAUGCGUAGAUAUCUGGAGGAACACCGGUGGCGAAGGCGGCGUCCUGGACCAACACUGACACUGAGGAGCGAAAGCCAGGGGAGCAAACGGG
rnacentral:rRNA from 1 species